GUGGAUGUAGCUCAAUGGUAGAGCGUUUGCCUUGCAUGCAUGAGGCCUUGGGUUCGAUCCUCAGCACUACA
rnacentral:tRNA from 1 species